CACACAUGAGGCAGGAGCAUGGGAAAGCCAUAGGAUGCUCUGCCAGAGGUCACAGGUGCCUCACAUCAUCUUUAUAAAUCCCUCUUCACAGAAGGGAGUUCAGGAGGGAAAUAUGAAGGCUUGGUAUAGGCAGUAAUGAUGGCGUGCAGUCCAGACCUAUGAUCAAGUGGAGGUAAUGGUUGAAAUCGAUGGAUCAGAGCAGCGUGGGCUUGAGAGAAUGUCAAAGCAGGUUUCUACAAACUCCCAAUCUGUCGAAGGGUGUUUCCUAGAUGCC
rnacentral:lncRNA from 1 species